UGCGUAGGCGGACUAAUAAGUCAGUGGUGAAAUCUCUCGGUUCAACCGGGAAACUGCCAUUGAUACUGUUAGUCUUGAGUUCGGUUGAGGUAGGCGGAAUGUGUAAUGUAGCGGUGAAAUGCUUAGAUAUUACACAGAACACCAAUUGCGUAGGCAGCUUACUAGACCGACACUGACGCUGAGGCACGAAAGCGUGGGUAGCGAACAGGAUUAGAUACCCUGGUAGUCC
rnacentral:rRNA from 1 species